rnacentral:rRNA from 1 species
CAAGCCCUGGAAACGGGGUCUAAUACCGGAUAUGAUCACUGGUCGCAUGGCCUGGUGGUGGAAAGCGUUAGUGGUGCAGGAUGAGCCCGCGGCCCAUCAGCUUGUUGGUGGGGUGAUGGCCUACCAAGGCGACGACGGGUAGCCGGCCUGAGAGGGCGACCGGCCACACUGGGACUGAGACACGGCCCAGACUCCUACGGGAGGCAGCAGUGGGGAAUAUUGCACAAUGGGCGGAAGCCUGAUGCAGCGACGCCGCGUGAGGGAUGACGGCCUUCGGGUUGUAAACCUCUUUCAGCAGGGAAGAAGCUUUCGGGUGACGGUACCUGUAGAAGAAGCACCGGCUAACUACGUGCCAGCAGCCGCGGUAAUACGUAGGGUGCGAGCGUUGUCCGGAAUUAUUGGGCGUAAAGAGCUCGUAGGCGGCGUGUCACGUCGGAUGUGAAAGCCCGGGGCUUAACCCCGGGUCUGCAUUCGAUACGGGCAGGCUAGAGUUCGGUAGGGGAGAUCGGAAUUCCUGGUGC